CCUACGGGUGGCAGCAGUGAGGAAUAUUGGUCAAUGGGCGCGAGCCUGAACCAGCCAAGUAGCGUGAAGGAUGACUGCCCUACGGGUUGUAAACUUCUUUUAUAAAGGAAUAAAGUGAGGCACGUGUGCCUUUUUGUAUGUACUUGAUGAAUAAGCAUCGGCUAACUCCGUGCCAGCAGCCGCGGUAAUACGGAGGAUCCGAGCGUUAUCCGGAUUUAUUGGGUUUAAAGGGAGCGUAGAGGGGUUGUUAAGUCAGUUGUGAAAGUUUGGGGCUGAACCGGAAAAUUGCAAUUGAUACUGGCAGGCUUGAGUACAGUUGAGGUAGGCGGAAUUCGUGGUGUAGCGGUGAAAUGCAUAGAUAUCACGAAGAACCCCGAUUGCGAAGGCAGCAUACUA
rnacentral:rRNA from 1 species